UACGGAAGGCAGCAGUGGGGAAUAUUGCACAAUGGGCGAAAGCCUGAUGCAGCUAUGCCGCGUGUAUGAAGAAGGCCUUAGGGUUGUAAAGUACUUUCAUCGGGGAGGAAAAAACAAAACUAAUAAUUUUAUUUCUUGACGUUACCCGAAAAAGAAGCACCGGCUAACUCCGUGCCAGCAGCCGCGGUAAUACGGAGGGUGCUAGCGUUAAUCAGAAUUACUGGGCGUAAAGAGCACGUAGGUGGUUUUUUUAAGUCAGAUGUGAAAUCCCUGGGCUUAACCUGGAACUGCAUUUUGAAACUGAAAUACUAGAGUAUCGUAGAGGGAGGUAGAAUUCUAGGUGUAGCGGUGAAAUGCGUAGAUAUCUGGAGGAAUACCUGUGGCGAAAGCGGCCUCCUAAACGAAUACUGACACUGAGGUGCGAAAGCGUGGGGAGCAAACAGGGAUUAGAUAC
rnacentral:rRNA from 1 species